rnacentral:rRNA from 1 species
AACGUAGGAGACAAACGUUAUCCGGAGUUACUGGGCGUAAAGGGCGUGUAGGUGGUUGUGUAAGUUCGGCGUGAAAUUUCUCGGCUUAACCGGGAGUGGUCGUCGGAUACUGCACGACUAGAGGACGGUAGAGGCGUGUGGAAUUCCGGGUGUAGUGGUGAAAUGCGUAGAGAUCCGGAGGAACACCAGUGGCGAAGGCGACACGCUGGGCCGUACCUGACACUGAGGCGCGAUAGCAUGGGGAGCAAACAGG